CCUACGGGUGGCAGCAGUGGGGAAUAUUGGGCAAUGGGCGCAAGCCUGACCCAGCAACGCCGCGUGAAGGAAGAAGGCUUUCGGGUUGUAAACUUCUUUUCUCAGGGACGCAGCAAGUGACGGUACCUGAGGAAUAAGUCACGGCUAACUACGUGCCAGCACCCGCGGUAAUACGUAGGUGGCAAGCGUUAUCCGGAUUUACUGGGUGUAAAGGGCGUGUAGGGGGGAAAGCAAGUCAGAUGUGAAAACCAUGGGCUCAACCUGUGGCCUGCAUUUGAAACUGUUUUUCUUGAGUGGAGUAGAGGUAAGCGGAAUUCCUAGUGUAGCGGUGAAAUGCGUAGAUAUUAGGAGGAACACCAGUGGCGAAGGCGGCUUACUGGGCUUUAACUGACGCUGAGGCUCGAAAGCGUGGGUAGCGAACAGGAUUAGAUACCCGAGUAGUC
rnacentral:rRNA from 1 species